UACGUAGGUGGCAAGCGUUGUCCGGAUUUACUGGGCGUAAAGGGCGUGCAGGCGGUUUGUCUAGUCUAGAGUGAAAGCUCCUGGCUUAACUGGGAGAGGUCCUUGGAUACUGGCAAACUUGAGGGAGGCAGAGGAAAGUGGAAUUCCCGGUGUAGUGGUGAUAUGCGUAGAUAUCGGGAGGAACACCAGUGGCGAAGGCGGCUUUCUGGGCCUUACCUGACGCUGAGACGCGAAAGCGUGGGGAGCGAACCGG
rnacentral:rRNA from 1 species